rnacentral:rRNA from 1 species
CCCCGCACAAGCAGCGGAGCGUGUGGUUUAAUUCGAUGCUACACGAAGAACCUUACCAGGGUUUGACAUGCAAGUGGUAGGAAACCGAAAGGCGACCGACCCUUCGGGGAGCUUGCACAGGUGCUGCAUGGCUGUCGUCAGCUCGUGUCGUGAGAUGUUCGGUUAAGUCCGCUAACGAGCGCAACCCUCGCUGUGUGUUACAAGUGUCACACGGUACUGCCGGUCUUAAGCCGGAGGAAGGUGGGGAUGACGUCAAGUCAGCAUGGCCUUUAUGUCCUGGGCUACACACACGCUACAAUGGCCAACACAAUAGGUUGCUAAGCCGCGAGGUGGAGCCAAUCCUCAAAGUUGGUCUCAGUUCAGAUUGCAGUCUGCAACUCGACUGCAUGAAGCCGGAGUUGCUAGUAACCGCAGGUCAGCAAUACUGCGGCGAAUACGUUCCCGGGUCUU